AUUGAACGCUGGCGGCAUGCCUUACACAUGCAAGUCGAACGGCAGCACGGGAGCAAUCCUGGUGGCGAGUGGCGAACGGGUGAGUAAAGCAUCGGAACGUGCCCAGUCGUGGGGGAUAACGUAGCGAAAGCUACGCUAAUACCGCAUACGAUCUGUGGAUGAAAGCGGGGGACCGUAAGGCCUCGCGCGAUUGGAGCGGCCGAUGUCAGAUUAGGUAGUUGGUGAGGUAAAGGCUCACCAAGCUGACGAUCUGUAGCUGGUCUGAGAGGACGACCAGCCACACUGGGACUGAGACACGGCCCAGACUCCUACGGGAGGCAGCAGUGGGGAAUUUUGGACAAUGGGCGCAAGCCUGAUCCAGCAAUGCCGCGUGCAGGAUGAAGGCCUUCGGGUUGUAAACUGCUUUUGUACGGAGCGAAACGGCUUCCACUAAUACUGGGGGCUAAUGACGGUGCCGUAAGAAUAAGCACCGGCUAACUACGUGCCAGCCGCCGCGGUAAAAC
rnacentral:rRNA from 1 species